ACAGUCUAUAGAAGGACUGUGUUUAAAAGAUGGAUGUAGCUUCUAGAUCUGGGAAAGCUGUGUCUACACUGGACGCAAGUCGCUGAUUCUGCAUCACUUUGAAGCUCGUCUCUCACAGCUCGUCACUUGUGGGCAUUCCAGGCUCCUGUUGCCGAGCUCUGUCUGCAAUGUUGAAAGUCGGCACGACUCCUGAAAGUCACCCCAGAGGAGGCAGCAGCAGGAGUUAUAUCGCAGAGGUGUAUCCAGUGUUUUUAUCAAAGAGACACUGCACACAGCUGCAAUAUACAAACCAUGACAUCCUUUAAAUUAUUUUCUAUGUUGUUCCAAUUAUUUAACGUGAUCCUACUUUGUGCCCUUCACUGUUCAAUGAUAUAAAAAAAAUGUAGCUAAUGUUUUGCCACACUGUGCAAAGUUUACUUAAAUAUACAGCGUGGCACAUACUGGCACAUCUGAGGUCUAAA